rnacentral:rRNA from 1 species
UACGAAGGGGGCUAGCGUUGCUCGGAAUUACUGGGCGUAAAGCGUACGUAGGCGGCUUUCUAAGUCGGGGGUGAAAUCCUGGAGCUCAACUCCAGAACUGCCUUCGAUACUGGAAAGCUCGAGUCCGGGAGAGGUGAGUGGAACUGCGAGUGUAGAGGUGAAAUUCGUAGAUAUUUCGGAAGAACACCAGUGGCGAAGGCGGCUCACUGGACCGGUAUUGACGCUGAGGUGCGAAAGCGUGGGAAGCAAACAGG